UUUUUUUUUUUUUUUUUAGAUCAGAAUUCCAGGAAUAUAGCUUUGUGCUAUCUUAAAUGAUGCAAUGGAAAAAGCAGUUCUUGGGAGCCAGAGAUCUUGGGCUCCAACACAGCCUGUGCCCUUCACCAGCUGAGUGACCUUGGGCAAGUCACUUAAUUUCUCUGGACCUAUUUCUUCAUCAGUAACUUGAGGAUUUUGUUCUCAAUUAUUCUAACCUCCUUUGCAGCUCUAAACAUAGGAAUGUUGUGGAGAAAAUGACUGAUACUCUUUAAUGGGUCAGUUGCAAUGAGGAUUCUGAAGAAGAAGUUGUUGACAGGGUCAUCAUAAAGCAUUAGAAUAGCCUGUUCUGUCCAUUUCUAACCUUUGGAUCAGACAUUCUUUACGGCCAGACCAGGGCCUGGAAGGAAAACAUCGUUUGAUUCGGGCCUGACAUUAACCUUUCUUGCUUCAAAGGGGCGUUUUCAAGUUUUAACAGACCCCAAGACAAACCCUCCUGACUAACCAGCCUAAGUUUUUGGAACCAUCUCUAGAGUGGAUUAUGCUCCUCUUCCUUCCACCUUUUUAAAAAUAAAAUGUGUGUGGGAAGGCAAGGCACCUGCUAGCUCCUACAUCCUAAGGUCAGCUCUCAGAAACAUCCCACCCCUCCCCACAGUAUAGAUUAAGCUUUAACCAGUGCACACUGCGGAAAUUAACACAUGCAUCCUGUUGGAAAUCACCUCUUUUCCAGGGGUGGUGUGUUUGUGGAUAAUGUUUCGCAUUUGUGCCAUCAGUGUUCUUCAGUGAGAUAACCAUUUAAGUGAAUGGAAAGGAAAUUUGAGAAGCCAAUUGGGGACUAUAGGAGGUCUUCCAAAAUUUUUUGUUUAGCUUUAUUUUUCUCGCUUAGGUGUAUGAAACAACUCAAUAUUUCUCUUGCUGGCAAAAUUAGUGUUGUCCAGAUUUUUUUUGUGCUUUAAGAUUUUUGAUUAGUUGAGCCAACACUGCUCUUCCAACCCUGUGUUAUCUUGGCUGUUGAGUUGCCAGUAUAUUCAGUAUAUUCAGAAGCUCCUGCCUUUUUUGUCCCUCCAUGUGGAUUUCACAAGUCAUUAAAAUAGUCUGUUGCCUCUUAAGAAACUCCAUGGACUUAUUCUCUUCCAAUCCUCUCACUAUAAUCAGAUAUGUCUUAGUUGAAUAGUAUAUAAAUCGUUCCUUUUAUUUUGAUGGGUUGCUAAUUUAGUAUAUUGGAACAUUUCAUGGUUUUAAGGUUUUGUUUUGUUUUAAAGAAAGCCAUUUCCUCAAUUAUUUCCUCAUGUUACAAAGUUACUGGAAAUUGUAUUCAAGGAAAAUAGCUUCUUGUGAAUCAUGCUUGAAGCCAGUUUCACACUAAAGAUCCUGUAACUUUUUUUCAUACUAGUAUUUUUUUGUAUGUAAAAUAAUAGAUCCUGCCUCUACCACAUUUAUAAUUAUGUAACUGAUUUAUUCUUUUGUUACCUUAUUAGUCCAUAACUAUGCAGCAGACUUUGAAAGUUCUUUUUAAAAUGUUGUUGAAACAUGUUCAGAAAGUAUAAUCAUAUUGAAUUUUAACUUAAAAUUACAUUUAAAUAUUAGUAUGAUAUAAUUGUAUACUAAUUUCAUAGUAUGACGUAGUUACUAAAAUUUAUUGUAAAGCUUUUUAAGAUGAUAGAUUAGUAAGUAUCAUCUAUUUGCUUCUAUUUUCGUCUUACACCUUGGAAAUGGUAGUAUCUCUCCCAUUCUUAAUUCACUGAAAAAGGGAGAAGAUGGAUUAGAUAAGUAUAAGGUACUGUCAUGUGUGAUAAAAGGAACACUUUUCAUUUUAAUAGUAGUCUU
ensembl:lncRNA